rnacentral:lncRNA from 1 species
GGACGCACACACAGACACACACUCCUCAGACUGUGACUGUAACAGGAAGUGAAACAGCUGCAGUUUGUCCUCCAGCUGUUCGAAGACACACAGUGAGACAUCAGCCUGAGGACAGAGGACACUCACACUGACUCUGUUAGAGGGGGAGCAUAUGGCUGAAAGGGAGGGACACACACAGAGACACACACAGACACACACAGAGAGACACACAGAAACAGAGACACACAGAAACAGAGACACACACACAGAGACACACACAAACAGAGACACACAGACACACAGAAACAGAGACACACACACACAGAGACACACACAGACACACACAGAGAGACACACAGAAACAGAGACACACACAGACACACACACAGAGACACACAAACAGAGACACACACAGACACACACACAGAGACACACAAACAGAGACACACACACACAGAGACACACACACAGAGAGACACACAGAAACAGAGACACACACAGACACACACACAGAGACACACAAACAGAGACACACAGAGACACACAAACAGAGACACACACACACAGAGACACACACAGACACACACAGAGACACACACAAACAGAGACACACAGAAACAGAGAGACACACACAGAGACACACACAAACAGACACACACACACACAGAGACACACACACACAGAGACACACACACACAGAGACACACAAACCUGAACACAGCCUGACUGACAGUGAACAUCACAACCAAUCAGAACACUCACAGGUGCAGCUGUGGAGGACGUGUUGUUGUGCCCCCCACUGGUCACAUCCAGGUACUGCUGCUGAGGACACCGGUCAGAGAGCUGCAGCCGACCUGCAGAGGAACCAGCUGUUACAGACAGAGACACAGAGAGAGACACACACACACACACAGAGACACACAGAGAGAGACAGAGAGAGUGAGAGAGAGAGAGGGGGACACACAGAGAGAGAGACACACAGAGAGAGACACAGAGAGACAGAGAGAGAGACACACAGAGAGAGACACAGAGAGAGACACACACACACAGAGACACAGAGAGAGAGAGACACACACACAGAGACACACACACAGAGAGAGACACACACACACAUACAGAGACUCACACACAGACACACACAGACUCACACAGAGACACACACUCACAGACACACACAGAGACACAGACUCACAGACAUAAACACUCACACACACAGACACACUCAGACACACACAGACACACAGACAAUCACAGACACACAAACUCACACACUCACAGACACACACACAGACACAGUGUGUGUUCCUACCUGUGCAGGUGGGUGCUGCAGCGCCUCCACUCCGCCCGC